UACGGAGGGGGCUAGCGUUGUUCGGAAUUACUGGGCGUAAAGCGCACGUAGGCGGCUUUGUAAGUUAGAGGUGAAAGCCCGGGGCUCAACUCCGGAAUUGCCUUUAAGACUGCAUCGCUAGAAUUGUGGAGAGGUAAGUGGAAUUCCGAGUGUAGAGGUGAAAUUCGUAGAUAUUCGGAAGAACACCAGUGGCGAAGGCGACUUACUGGACACAUAUUGACGCUGAGGUGCGAAAGCCGGGAGGGAGCAAACAGG
rnacentral:rRNA from 1 species